CUAAUAAAGGUAAACUAAAUAUUUAGAUCGAGGCGUAAGUAAUUUUUACGAAAAAUAAAAAAAAUUAAGGUGUAACCUUAUUUAUUCCCUCAAAAGAAAACUUAUUUUAAAAAUUAUUAAAUUUUUAAAAUUGCUUAAAUAUUAAAGAUUUAUGUAAAAACAAAAGCGAAUUGAAACAUCUUAGUAGCUUGGAAAAAAAUCAAAAGAGAGUUCGAAAGUAAUGGCGAAUGAAAUCGAAUCAGUUUAAGGUUAAUAAUUUUAAAAUAAUGAAAUGUUGCUCAUUUGAAACAAAGUAAAUAAUUAAGGCUUGUAAUUGCAAAAUUAUUUUCCGUUGAUCGAAGCGUAAGAAACUAUGUUUCGUUGUAGAAUUAACUACUUAACAAAAAAUCUAAAUUUUUAUAGUGUAAAGUACCGUGAGGGAAAGUAAUUAACUUUGGGUAGCCUUUAAUUUAUUAGCUUAUUAACAAUUUUUUUAAUAAAAAUGUGUACCUUUUGCAUUAUGGUUCAGGGAGUUAAAUUUAAUAGCAAGCUUAAGUAAAAUUAUAAAGCGUAAAAAAAUUGUUUUGGUAGUUAUUAAAUUUAGACACGAAACCGCUGUGAUCUAAUCAAAUUCAGGUUGAAAAUUUAGUAAAAAUAAAUGGGAAGACCGAAGUAGUGUUUGUUGCAAAAAACUUAUGUGAAAUUUGAUUUGGAGUGAAAGGCUAAUCAAACGCGGCGAUUGCUUGUUUUCUGCGAAAUUUUUUUUAGAAAAGCGUUUAAAAAUUAAAUUUAUAAGGUAAAGCACUGGUUUUUUUGAGGUUGAUUAAUUUCAUUACAAGAUUUUUCCAAACUCUGAAUUUAUAGAUAAUAUUUUAAACAGUCAGAUUGUUAGCGAGAAAGUUGAUAAUCAAGAGAGAAACAACUCCAAAUGAUUUUUAAGGUUUUAAAAUAAACUUUUAAAUAAAGAAAAUUUUUAGUUUGAACAACAUUGAAGUAAGCUUAGAAACAGCUAUCUUUUUUAUAAAAACGUAACAGUUUCAAUGCAAACACAAAAAAUUGUCCAAAAUAUAAUGAAAUUUAGGUUUUACCGAAAAAUCAUAAUAAAUAUAAAGUAUUUAUUGGUAGCAGAACGAUUUGUUUUUUUUUACCUUUUUGUGAAAAAUUGUAUGUAAAAACUCAAAUUCGAUAAUCCUGAAAUUAGUAACAAAAAAAGUUAUAAAACUUUUCACCAGAUAUUUUAGGUUUUCUUCGUUAAAUUAUAUUUCGUUGAGUUAUACGAACUCUUAUUUUUAGGUAAAUACUUUAAAAAGAUGAGCAAUUGUAAGGCAUAUCAGAUUUUAUUAACAAUUAAAUUCUUAUCAAAAACAAGAAUAAUGAGCUUUUUCUUUAUUUAAGGUUAAAAGAUUUCGCAAGUGAUUCUUCGGGAAAAAUUGAACUUGAUUUUUGUCUUACAAAAAUUCGUAUUUAAACCAAAAAAGGUUAAUUUGUUUAGCAAAAUAAUGGUGUAAAAAUUAAAGAAAAAUAUGGAACUCGGCAAACUAGCUCCGAACCUUAGGAAGAAGGAGUGGCAAUUUUAACAAAUAAAUUGCUGUAAAAAAAGGAAAUCCACAACUGUUUAUUAAAAACACAUGAUCAUGCUAAUUUUUAAAAGAAAGUAUAUGAUCUGACUUGUGCUAAAUGCUUGAAAAUUGAAAAAAAAAUUGUUUUGCUUUUUUAUAAAAACGAGCUAAUAGCAGUCUUAUUCCUGAGGAUUGUAAUGUAGCGAAAUUCCUUGUCCACUAAAUAUGGUCCCGCAUGAAUCAAGUAAUGAUGGAUUUGCUGUCAUGUUUUUCUGUUUUGUGAAUUUGAAGUAGGAGUGCAGAUUCUCUUUUCCAAAAUUAAGACGAAAAGACCCUAUAAAACUUUACUAAAAACAAUUAUUGCUAAAAUUCAACAUUCUGUUCAGAGUAAACAAGAGCUUAUGAAAUUUUUUAUUUAAAAAGUUGAAGCGACGCUGAGAAAUUGUUCUUUAUUGGAUUAAAGCUAAUUUUUUAAAAAGACAGUGAUUGUUCGUUAGUUUCUUUGGGGCGAAGUUCUUUUAAAAGGUAACAAAGAAGUGCAAAGGCAAAUUAAUUUGAAAAAUUUCAUUUUAAAACGAAAAAGUAUAUAUUUGCUUAACUGUAAGGUUGAUAUACCAAGCAGAAAUUAACGUUGGCUUUAUUGAACCAACUUUUUUGAUUAAAAAAGAAGUUGUUCAUCAGAUAAAAGUUACUUUAGGGAUAACAGAAUUAUAAAAAUCAAGCGAUCAGAGCGAAAUUUUUGUUUGUGACCUCGAUGUCGAUUUGUGGUAUCCUCGAGGCGAAGAAGUUUCGAAGGGUUUAACUGUUCGUUAAAUAAAACCGCACAUGAAUUGGGUUUAAAACGACGUAAGUCAGUUUUGUUUCUAUCUAAUUUUGGAUUAAAACUGAGGGGGUUCUUGUUUAGUAUGAGAAGAAUAAUAAGAAGAAGCAAAUUGUGAUUGGUUAUUUUCUAAAAAUAUUCAACUAGCAACGCUUUAUAAAAUAAAAAAUGAAAGCAUCUAUUUUUAUUUAAGUUUUCCCCAAUAAAGGUUUUAUUUCUUUAUAAAAUGCUAAAAAUAGUAGUUUAAGACUAAAACUUAGAUCGGCAACUAGUUUUUCUUGUAAAUUUAAGCUUAGUUGUACGAAUUAAUUUAAAUUAAUACUUAGUCUUU
rnacentral:rRNA from 1 species